AUUGAACGCUGGCGGCAGGCUUAACACAUGCAAGUCGAGCGGGGUGAUGGUGCUUGCACUAUCACUUAGCGGCGGACGGGUGAGUAAUGCUUAGGAAUCUGCCUAUUAGUGGGGGACAACAUCUCGAAAGGGAUGCUAAUACCGCAUACGUCCUACGGGAGAAAGCAGGGGAUCACUUGUGACCUUGCGCUAAUAGAUGAGCCUAAGUCGGAUUAGCUAGUUGGUGGGGUAAAGGCCUACCAAGUCGACGAUCUGUAGCGGGUCUGAGAGGAUGAUCCGCGACACUGGGACGGAGGCACGGCCCAGACUCCUACGGGAGGCAGCAGUGGGGAAUAUUGGACAAUGGGGGGAACCCUGAUCUAGCCAUGCCGCGUGUGUGAAGAAGGCCUUAUGGUUGUAAAGCACUUUAAGCGAGGAGGAGGCUCUUUUGGUUAAUACCCAAGAUGAGUGGACGUUACUCGCAGAAUAAGCACCGGCUAACUCUGUGCCAGCAGCCGCCGUAA
rnacentral:rRNA from 1 species